AUAGCUACCUAAGUGCAGCAUUUUGCACAGCAACAUCAAGAACAGCCAUGGCGAGGUGUAAGGCACAUACAGGCGCACACAGAUUGUGCCUAUGUGUGAACUGUAACCUUCUAAAACAAAAGAAUUUCAUGCCACAUUGAAAAAAAGGCUUUUUUGACGGCUAGAAAUGAAAAUGUUCAUCCUUUAGACUAGCGUAUCAUAUUUUAUAGGUUCAUGCUGUAGACACAGGGGCCAAAUGAAAUGAACCAAGAUCGUAGGCAUUAAGUUACACUUUAAUUUUAUCUUUUUUUCUCCUGUGAUUUUGACACCAGUGAUUAAAAAUGAACCUGGACCUUUGACCUACUCCUUUGGGGUUUCUUCCCUCUCCCCCCCCCCCCCCCCCAUUCACCUGCAAACCUUUGCUGAUCUUUGCAUAGAGCUUUGGUCAACUGCUUUUAACAGCUAAACAUUAAAGCCACUGAGAGCAUAAACAGGAAGCUGGUGUUUAGGUGGGAGUUCCUAGGAAUUUUAUACUACUGACCACAGAGGCCAAGAGAGAAAGGAAAUAGGAAAAACAGUGUAAAUACCUGGGUGACUAAUGACUUUGCGCAGCUUAGCUGGCUUUUCUGAACAUUUAAGUCUCUUCUGGGGGAAACACCCUGAAAAAUUUUCAGGACCCUGCGUGACAUCGAAGGGGCAGAUGUAUGAGUGUUUACUGCAGGCGGUUGGUUUUGUUCACCGACUACCGGGCAGAGAGAUUUUCUGCCGAUCUCUCCAAGCGAUGGACUCCAUUUGCAUGCGUGGUGCAGACAUUUUGCCGAGCACCGGGGUUCCCAGGCCUCCGAUUGUAAAGGACUGUUAAGGCCACCCCUUCCCUCGUUCACAUGGAUAGCGCCUAAGAGGAUUUAGAAUCAAGUGGGCACAUUUGCACGGCCUUGUUCUGAAGAGGCAGCUGGAGCGCGGGCCGGCCGGCCUGGCGCAGCCAACCGCGGGUCCCGGGGGACCGCAUUGUCCUCCGAGGGGCCGCCACGGGGGCUCCAUUGUGCGCGGAGCAGGCCUUUUUCUCCUGCCCUCUGUCUCCCCCGGGCCUCCUCCCCCGCCUCCCCACGCAGACUUUUCUCUCAAGCUGCCCGGAUCCCCCUGCUGCCGCAUUUCCAAUGCAGAGGAGCGGGCAGGGCUUCGGGCUGGCCAUCUGCACGCGGAGAUUGACAGCGGCCCCGGAAGGUUGAAAAGGAAGACAGGAGUUUCUGGAUGUACCUGUCAAGACUAAAUGAUUGUUCAUUUCCUGUGAGUUGGGAAUAACGUAAUCACAUGCAGCUGGGGAGCUAGGCUGUGUUUCUUGCUUUUUCCUCUUCCAGAAGCUGGGUCCCUUACCAGCUGGGAAAUAUUACUGUAUGAACGUGCUGAAAAACUUAAGGGAAAUGAAAAGAACAACAACAUUCUAGAUGUCAGCAAUCAGUUUGAUGGUCUUACCUGUACCAACCUGAGAGGAUUUUAAUAGCAAAAGUUUGUAAAGAUUAAUUUAAUUUAAACUGAGUUCUUAGAUUAAAAAAAAAAAAAAGCAAGUGUUUACAGAGUCACAAAAAUCUUUGUCUAGAAUUGAGCUGAUUAGAAUUAACCCUGUCACAAUUACACCCACCAACGACUGGGUAAGUUUGAGAGAAACAAUUUAAAAUAAUAAAGCAUUUUAACCCAAGAGAAAUGGAUUAGUAGGAAUCAAAGUAUCCGUCCUUUGCUAAUGCAGUCAUUACCUGGGGGAAAAAAAACCCCACAUAAAUUCAAUGCUGAGUUUAAAAUUGGAAUUCAGCAAAAUGUAAUCUCGGGCACUUAUUUUAAAUGCACGCUUCUAUCUUUUAGUAUAAUAAAUUUUGUUCGGGGUUUCAUUAGCCAUUACACUAUACAUUGUGAUUAUGUCAGAUAUUAGAUGCUGAGAAAUGGAGCCAACAUCUCACUUCAGGUGGCUCCUGUUCCAACUCAUCAUCAGAAUUAAUUAAAGAAAGAGGAGGUGGGAUGGGGAGCAGGAGAAACGUUUGGAUUAGUCAGGUCACCGUUUUUUCCUGGGAAGGUGAGGAAUGGAAGAAGAGAGAGGCCAAGGCAGAAGGAAAGUCUCUGUUGGGAUGCCUGGGUGGCUCAGUCGGUUAAGUGUCUGACUCUUAAUUUCCACUCAGGUCAUGAUCUUGCGGUUCAUGAGUUCGAGCCCUACAUGGGGCUCCAUGCUGGCAGUGCAGAGCCUUCUUAGAACUGCCUUUUCUGACGUCUACCAAACACAAGAUGAUGAGGAUGACAAUAAUAAAAAAUAUCAAUGCUACUGAAGCUCCUUGGGGACUCUUCAGAAUGACACAGCACUUACACAUCCAUUAGGUCAUUUCUUUUCCAUCUUCUCUCUCUUAGUGCUUUGAGGCCAGCAGUGAGAGCAUCGUCACUCCAUCUCACAGUUCACUUAUUUAUUUUGAGAGACAGAGAGAGCGAACAAGAGAGGGGCAGAGAGAGAAAGAGAGAGAGAGAGAGAGAGAGAGAGAGACUCCCAAGCAGGCUCCACACUGUCAGCGCAGAGCCCCAUGAAAGGCUCCAACUCAAGAACUGUGAGAUCAAGACCCGAGCCGAGAUCAAGAGUCGGAAGCUUAACCGACUGAGCUACCCAGGUGUCUUGUGUUUUAUUUUCACAUUAAAGAGUCGGCUUACAUCCAGCAUGUACAAUAGAUAUGAUAGAUUUUUGCCUUUCCGUUUUACACAAGUCCUUUUCUGAAGCUAACACAUGUCUCCCUUGUCCAUGUCGUUGCUUCCUGGGCUUCAAGAGAGAAGAGAUCGUGAGGAGAAAAAGACACAGUGGGUCGGUAGACGGCAGGUUGCCCCUGGCAGGCCGGGUGGAGCAGGCAGCUGUGCAGGGCUCCUGCCUGCCAGCUUCUUUCACAUCACGAGAAGCAAAUGGCCCCCAGGUGAAGGAUGGAAGAAGCAGCUGAGAAAUCUUCCUGUCAUAUUUGGGUUUAUUUCCCUGCCGCCUGAGUAAGCUUUCAGUAACCUUGGUCUUUCAAUUCAACUAUUUUGAUGGAAAGAAAUAACGAUCACGGCAACUGUGGCUGAUGGAUGUUAAGAGCUGGACCUUACCCUUUCAGGGGAAGACUGCUUGAGAAUGGACUUGAGGACAAAGGCGUUACAAAGCAUGGCACCGGAAGCUAUGUUUUUGCUGACUCGACUUACCUUAUUAACAAAAUCAUUUCACGUUUUAUGUGAACAUAAACAAAACUUCCUAGGUAAUCUUUGAAGGUGUUGGAUGCUGUGGUAGCUACCACUGUGGCAAAAGGGCAGUGUUGAAGUGUAAUCAGUCUCCCAGAUAAUAAUAUUUUACCGAUCAAUAACUUACUGUACUUACAGGUUUGCCCCGUCAUAUAAAAAUAUAUUUAUAAAAAGUAUCACCCAGACUUUUAUAAAUUAGUAGACUGACCGUUGCUUUAAUCAUCUUUUAUCUUCUACAUGUGUGAACCUAAAAGAUUGAUGGUGUUUUAGUUAUGUCUACAUCACAUCUGAUUUCACAAUAGCCUGUGGAGAAACCUAUUUUUGAUAGUAAUAAAAAAGCAUUUCAUAUACAGUUGCAUAUAUGGAACUUAGCUAGUUUUUUAAACCAGGAAGGUAGAGCUACUUUCUGGGAUAGGAAUCACAAAUGGGUUUCAUCCGAGCACGAACUGGGCAGUUCACAGAAGUGGCAUGCUGAGAAAGCUGGUCUGGGCUCAGCAAACGUGUGUGCGAGAUGGAUUAGUGAUGUCUGCCAUGGAAGGACAAGGUCCUGGUGCCAUCUGUGUGCCAUCUCUGCCGUGGGAGGAAAGGGAAAAUACUAAAAUAUGUAGCAAAUGUGUAUUUCACUAUGCACAAAGAUGCAUAAAGAAUUCCUCUGAUGACACAGUUUUUGCCAGAGCAAAGACUCAAUCGAUAACUUCAAAUAGUGUUAGAUUUCAGAGUAUUAUUAAAAAUACUUAAUGCAUAUCUGGGUGUCUAAAAGAGUAAGGAUUAUUCAUUUUUCUCAACAUGCUACAAUUGUUAUGUGAAAUUCUGGAAAUUAAGUCUGUCAUCAUUACGGUAGUGAAUAUCAGUCAAAAUCUUCCAAUUAUGUAAGCAACUCACAAAUGAGUCUUUUUCCUUGAAUUCCAUCAGCACUGAGGUACACUGCAGCCUGAUUGUUUUCAUUAAUGUAGUUUUCAUCGCACUCAAAGAAAAUGCCAUUGUUUGGUGAUUAUGACGCCCAUAGGGAAGUCAUAAAGUCCGUCAUAUUCCUAAGUUCCAUCUAACAGUAUCAGUGAGGAUACAACUCUAGCAUAGUCAUUUAUUUCCUGUUAAAGAUAAUAUCAAUGGAAAAGCAAAGUGGGGUUAUCCCCCUGGAGAGACCAUGAGUUUAAGAUGAUUAAUGUUGUAAAGAAAUAGCUUUCUUAUUGAAUAAAUGGCCUUUUCAUCA